AAAGAUCUAUUGAUGAGAGAUGAUAAACAAGAAUUGUAUCAACAUGAGAAUCUAUUACAUAGAUCAAAUAUAAAUGAAACUACCAUCAUCCAAGCGAGUUCAUCCCUAGCUUUACCAAAGAAUUCGCUCUCCAUGAAUUUGUGGCUCCUCUUGAUGAUUUUUUUGUAAUGCAGCCUUUUCUCCCUCAGAACGGCGAGCUCCUCCAAGUAUAUAGAUGGUUUUGGGGCUAAAAAUCCUAGGAAACACGACUUAGACACGUUUGCAUGCAUUUUUCCGACUUUACCCUCGAGCACCAACGUCAGCAUGAAGUUCGGGAGGCUCUCUAGAUCGCAUCUGAUCUCCAAAUUUUGCGUUCUUAUAGUCAUUAGAAAGUCCUGGAAGUCUAGUUUCCAACAAAAUUUGAAUCAGCUCAAUUGGACUUCUUUAGCUCCCGAAAUCAUCAAAAUACUACAC
rnacentral:lncRNA from 1 species